CCCCCACACUUUCUUCUUCCUUCCUCUCUCGCGGCUAGGGUUUGUCACAGCGUCAGUUGUCUCUCUCUUCUCCUCCCUAAACCUCCUCAAAUCCGCUACAAAUCAAGGGGAUUUCGUCGGGAUUGAGUUGGAGAUUGUUUGUGAAGCUUGUAGAGGUCGACAACCAUGUCGUGUGUGGAACAGAUGUGGAGGAAUCGUUUGCCAACGAGAAACUGAUGGAGAGGAUGUUCAUCGAUUGUUUCGGUUCUAUUCUGUACAAAGAAGAUAUGAGGAGCAGACAUGGAAGUUUUGGGAAACGUAUUUUCAUCCCUACCAGUAUAUCGUACCUUUUGAACUAGAUUUUAUUAAGAUCAGUGGGAAGUUCGAAAAGUUCGCUGCCGAAGCACUAGCUGGACACCUUAGAGACUUCAUGAACCCGAUUAACACAUCGAAGAUGCAGCUAGUAAGCUAAACAUUAUAUCUUGAAUUUUUUCUAUGUAUAAUCCCCGUGUAAGAGAACCAUAUUUCAGUCUGUUUCGUCACUUUCCCUUUUAUAUUUUACAAGCAGCGAACUGAUUCACCGUGUUUUACUGGAAAUAUCGCAUCAGCAGAUCAUUGUACCUAUAUUGCACAAUACCCAUUGGUCACUGUACGCAAUAAAUCUCGACCACAAGCACGUCGAUAUAAUGGAUUCCAACCAUUACAAGCUGAUUGGAACGGCAGUCAACAACCACCAUGGUGCCUUAUUAAAAAGGAUCAUGUAGCGGCUCAACGACGCCUUUUAGACGAUAGUUCCAAAAAGUUUCCAGCGAUUCGGCGGGUUUAGAAAGAACUUCAUUGAAUGCCCUAACAUGCUCACAUGCUCAAACGACUGUGCAUUUUUUGUCACGAGGUACAUGGAGGUAUACGAUGGCAACAGGGAACCCAUAGAGAAGUUAUCCAUUCCGACCGACUCAACUGUAAGAUCAAGGAGUGAUCUACAUGUUUUUGUGAUGAAUAAAUUGGUGGUUUGCGAGAUAAAUGUUUUUGUGAUAUUUGACUGGGCGGUCAGACCGUAGGUAUAUGGGCAGUCAGACCUUUCAGAUAAUUGCGGUCAAAUCAUAGGUAUUUGGACGGUCAGACCAGCAGGUCAGCCCCGAAAGUUUCAGCUUUUGGUUUUCUUUUCGGUUUCGGAUUUGUUCUUCGUGAAUUCGACUUCUAGUUGGUUUCUAUACGUAUCGGUACUGUUGUUUUACUAAUCUUGAGUCAAGUUGGAGAUAGCUUGGUCUCGGAAUAUGGUUUCUUUGUUUGAUUCAUGUGUAGGUGACUAUAUGUCUCGAGAGAGUGUUGCCGGCGAUGGAUCGGGAGUUAACUUGGAGAUAAGUUCACGUCCGGCGGUUGGGAUAUCAUGCGGGAUACUUAGGCUAGAGUUCAAUGCACGUGGUAGUGAGGAUUCCAUAUGGCAUACGAUGGAGAUAUUGUGUGCGUAUGGGAUAUGAAAGUUGAAUUCGGAUAGAGUCCGGAUUUGAGAAGAUUUGUUGUAUUAGAGAUAGAGAUAUGGUUAGUUACGGAUAAGGAUUGGUUUCUCACGAGAUUGGGAGUCCUAAUUCGUGGGCCUUGCAUACCCACGUCGAGGUUAUAAAUAGGUACCGAGAGGUAUGCCCCCGGAGAGCUUUUUUGUGCCGUUUGAGAGAAAAAGUUAGGGUAUCGACUCUAUUUCGAUAUUAGAUCGAAAGUUUUGGUUAGGAGUGCUUUCUAUGCACUUUGUAAACACUGGUUGAUCAAUAAAAGUCGAGA